rnacentral:rRNA from 1 species
GAUGAACGCUGGCGGCGUGCCUAAUACAUGCAAGUCGAGCGAACGGACGAGAAGCUUGCUUCUCUGAUGUUAGGGGCGCACGUGUGAGUAACACGUGGAUAACCUACCUAUAAGACUGUGAUAACUUCGGGAAACCGGUGCUAAUACCGGAUAAUAUUUUGAACCGCAUGGUUCAAAAGUGAAAGACGGUCUUGCUGUCACUUAUAGAUGGAUCCGCGCUGCAUUAGCUAGUUGGUAUGGUAACGGCUUACCAAGGCAACGAUGCAUAGCCGACCUGAGAGGGGGAUCAGCCACACUGGAACUGAGACACGGCCCAGACUCCUACGGGAGGCAGCAGUAGGGAAUCUUCCGCAAUGGGCGAAAGCCUGACGGAGCAACGCCGCGUGAGUGAUGAAGGUCUUCGGAUCGUAAAACUCUGUUAUUAGGGAAGAACAUAUGUGUAAGUAACUGUGCACAUCUUGACGGUACCGAAUCAGAAAGCCACGGCUAACUACGUG